UUUAUGGAGAGUUUGAUCCUGGCUCAGGAUGAACGCUGGCGGCGUGCCUAAUACAUGCAAGUCGAGCGAACGGACGAGAAGCUUGCUUCUCUGAUGUUAGCGGCGGACGGGUGAGUAACACGUGGAUAACCUACCUAUAAGACUGGGAUAACUUCGGGAAACCGGAGCUAAUGCCGGAUAAUAUUUUGAACCGCAUGGUUCAAAAGUGAAAGACGGUCUUGCUGUCACUUAUAGAUGGAUCCGCGCUGCAUUAGCUAGUUGGUAAGGUAACGGCUUACCAAGGCAACGAUGCAUAGCCGACCUGAGAGGGUGAUCGGCCACACUGGAACUGAGACACGGUCCAGACUCCUACGGGAGGCAGCAGUAGGGAAUCUUCCGCAAUGGGCGAAAGCCUGACGGAGCAACGCCGCGUGAGUGAUGAAGGUCUUCGGAUCGUAAAACUCUGUUAUUAGGGAAGAACAUAUGUGUAAGUAACUGUGCACAUCUUGACGGUACCUAAUCAGAAAGCCACGGCUAACUACGUGCCAGCAGCCGCGGUAAUACGUAGGUGGCAAGCGUUAUCCGGAAUUAUUGGGCGUAAAGCGCGCGUAGGCGGUUUUUUAAGUCUGAUGUGAAAGCCCACGGCUCAACCGUGGAGGGUCAUUGGAAACUGGAAAACUUGAGUGCAGAAGAGGAAAGUGGAAUUCCAUGUGUAGCGGUGAAAUGCGCAGAGAUAUGGAGGAACACCAGUGGCGAAGGCGACUUUCUGGUCUGUAA
rnacentral:rRNA from 1 species